AGCGUAACUAAACCCCUGGUCAGAGCCUGACUCCACCCACUGCAAUAUUUGAAAAAUGCAAGAAAAGUGGGCAGAUCCCAACGGAGAUAGAGGGGACGAACUAAGUGUGUGGUGAGAUCGUAACAAGGGCGUGGUGAGCUUGAACCUGCUUACGUCACGAGUCAUUUCUUGGACCCAACAUCCAAUAGGAAAAUUCAACUGCAGUAGCCACCGUUCAACCUCAAGAGGGCAGCACUCAGACGUUUUUACACCAUAUAUUGUAGUAUUGAAACACUUUAUAUCCAAAUGUCAAAAAACUUACUAAAAUCAAUGAACAGCACUAAUAAAGCAUCAUUCUUACAGAUCAUUAACUAAAAAAAAUUGGUUUGGGGUUUAGUUACUCUUUAAAAAAUUAGGUAAAUGAAUGAAUAAUUUUUUUCAGUCUAGGCUUUGAAAGGCGCAUUCUGUUAAAGAAAAUAUAUCGCCUGGCAGUGAACUUUAAGCUUUAUCAUUUUGCAGUUGGUCAUUGCAGUGAUUUUGAACAUAAGCAGUGCUGCGCUGGCGAUCACAGCUGUUGUGUUUCAUUCAGUGGAGCUGGCAAAAACAUCUAUCAAUACUACUAUCCAUACUGUGAUGACGACAAUUAUUCACGUUAUGGAGAUCAUGUAACAGCGUCCCCUGAACAGAGGAAGGAUCAGGAAAUGUGUCUGUACUACAUGCAUCUCAAUCAGUGAACGAAACACGCUGUUAAUGCAUUUGUGAUCUAUAGAGGUGUAAAAAUCAUGAUGAUAGUUUUGGUAGUUCUUCUGGUCUGUUUAACCAUCAGCUGCUGUGUCGGGACUCUGAAAGCUUUGUGCAAGAAGAGCGGAGAUGCACAGUCUGUGGAGGACUCACAACUUUACAAGCCUCUCCUGGAGGACGCUGCAAUCCUCCAUGCUAGAGGAACACAAUGAACAUGGAUGAAAAAGCAACACAAUACUCAUGUUACAGGUUAAGGGUUUUGAGGUGGAUUGGUUACAUUAGAGCUGAAUUUAAGAAUAAAUAAUUAGAGCACAUUAGCAUCAACCUCUUGCAUUUAUGCCACAGAUAACACUUUUAUAAUAUUUUUUUUACAUUGUAGAACAUUUUUUUAUAUUCAUGAGUUGAAUUUGUUCGCUGCUUUCACAGCUGACUCUAAAUAAAUCAAGUUUAUUUUUAUAUACUGUUAAAUAGAAUUUAACCUUGUUAAAUCAAAUUUAAUCAAUGUUUUAUUUUCAUCUUAAAUGUAAUGAUUAUUUCAGAAACAAAAUGGCAUUGUUUUGAGAUAUUAUACUUACCAUUGGGAAGCAUAACUAGAAACUCAGUCAAUAUCAGAGGAUAAAUGUAAAUUUAAUUUAUCAAACAAAAGCUUAAUGUAAACAUUAGGAAAAGGUUAAACUUCCACCAUAAGCCCAUUCGAUGUAUAGAGUUGUAAGAUUUGAUACAAAUGAAUCAACUCUAAACUCUGUUCCUGUACUCAACACUUUUCUCUUUGUUGUUUAAUUUGAUUUUUAUAAAUUCAAGUCUUUGUUUAUGCUUGGGCUCUAACUAUCUGCAGUCACUUUUAUAUAAAACUUUGAUUUGAGACCAAAAAACAAGAUUUUGACAAGAAAUCAUUGACUGCAACUAAAACAUUUAAUGUGCAUCUAUUUGAUUUUUAAUUUACAUUAUGUACCUGUAGUUUCUUUUACACUAUAUUAGCAUAUGUCAUUAUCUUAAAGUAAACCCCAAAGUGAAGCACUUAUUUUUUUGACAACUGUAUG